CCUUGUCUCCUAGUAUUGGAGCUUGAUCUUGUGUGUUUCCUGCUCUUCUAUUUGUCACCAUGAAGUUCCUGACACUCCUUGUGUUGCUUGGUGUUUCCACUAUCCUAGUCUCUUGCCAGGACGCAGAGACAAACAGUGCUGACACUUCUGAAACUGCUGAUUCUACUGGUGGAAAUACUAGCUCUGAAACUCAGGCAGAUAGUACUAAUGAAAACCAAGAUGCUGAGUCCUCUAAUUUAGCCAAGGAAGAAAAUGAGAGCACUGAGAAUACCAACACUGCUAAUGAGGCCUCUGAGGAGGACAAAAAGGGAGAGACAGAUGAUAACAUUACCAGGGAAGACACCUCCACUCAGAAAGAAGAGGAUGAUACCUCUAAUCAGACCAAAGUGGGUGACACCUCCAUUCAGAAGGAAGAGGAUGAUACCUCCAAUAACAUAGAAGGGGAUAAUACCUCUAAUCAGAACAAUGUGAAUGAUACCUCCAAUGAGAAACAAGAGGAUAAUACCUCUCAUAAAAAAGAAGGCAAUGACAAGACUGAACAGAAAAAAGAAGAUGGCAAAAAAAAUUUAAUAUUAUUGGAAAAAUGAAAGAAAUGAAAAAGAAGAUGAAUGUAAUGAUAUUGAAUAACAUUCAUGGUAGAUGAGUUUGCAUCUUCUACUACUGACCUUUCUGACACAGACUAGAACAUCCUUGAUUUGAUUUCCUCCAGUUAUUUACCCUGACUAUUUGCUCUCUCUCUCAUUGCUAACUUUUAUCAAAUAAAUGGUAAUCAUGAGCAGCAUC